UGGAAAUUAAUUUAAUAUUAGUACUCUCAUUUAUUCCUAAUAAGAUUAGGAGGCUAAUUAAUUAAAAGAUUUUAAUUAAUUAUUCCUAAUGAGAUUGGGAACAUAAUUAAUUAAAGGAUUUUAAUUAAUUAAAAUAAAAUCCAAUUCCUUAACAAUUAAGGAGGGUUGCCCACAUCUCUAAAUAAAAGGAGCCUUAUAAUGGGUGGAGUGAUUGUUGACUUUUUCACAACAG
rnacentral:lncRNA from 1 species